GUUCCGCUGGAGAGAGGAGGUAGUAGCGUCCGUUCCGCUGGAGAGAGGAGGUAGUAGCGUCCGUUCCACUGGAGAGAGGAGGUAGUAGCGUCCGUUCCACUGGAGAGAGGAGGUAGUAGCGUCCGUUCCACUGGAGAGAGGAGGUAGUAGCGUCCGUUCCACUGGAGAGAGGAGGGAGUAGCGUCCGUUCCGCUGGAGAGAGGAGGUAGUAGCGUCCGUUCCUCUGGAGAGAGGAGGUAGUAGCGUCCGUUCCUCUGGAGAGAGGAGGUAGUAGCGUCCGUUCCGCUGGAGAGAGGAGGUAGUAGCGUCCGUUCCACUGGAGAGAGGAGGUAGUAGCGUCCGUUCCGCUGGAGAGAGGAGGAAGUAGCGUCCGUUCCACUGGAGAGAGGAGGUAGUAGCGUCCGUUCCACUGGAGAGAGGAGGUAGUAGCCUCCGUUCCACUGGAGAGAGGAGGUAGUAGCGUCCGUUCCACUGGAGAGAGGAGGUAGUAGCGUCCGUUCCACUGAACAGAGGAGGUAGUAGCCUCCGUUCCGCUGGAGAGAGGAGGUAGUAGCGUCCGUUCCACUGGAGAGAGGAGGUAGUAGCGUCCGUUCCACUGAACAGAGGAG